UACGAAGGGUGCAAACGUUGCUCGGAAUUAUUGGGCGUAAAGCGCACGUAGGCGGCUUUGCAAGUCGGAUGUGAAAUCCCUCGGCUUAACCAAGGAAGUGCAUCCGAAACUGCAGAGCUUGAGUACUUAAGAGGAUCGCGGAAUUCCCGGUGUAGAGGUGAAAUUCGUAGAUAUUCGGAAGAACACCAGUGGCGAAGGCGGCUCACUGGCCCGUUACCGACGCUCAGGCGCGACAGCGUGGGGAGCAAACAGG
rnacentral:rRNA from 1 species